UUGGAGGGCAAGUCUGGUGCCAGCAGCCGCGGUAAUUCCAGCUCCAAUAGCGUAUAUUAAAGUUGUUGCAGUUAAAAAGCUCGUAGUUGAAUUUUAGGCCCGGUUGGACGGUCUGCUCUAGGGUUUGUACUGUCCUGACUGGGUCUUACCUUCUGGUGAGCUGUCGUGUUGUUUACUCAGCGCGGCAGGGAACCAGGACAUUUACUUUGAAAAAAUUAGAGUGUUUAAAGCAGGCAUACGCUUGAAUACAUUAGCAUGGAAUAAUAGAAUAGGACUUCGGUUCUAUUUUGUUGGUUUCUA
rnacentral:rRNA from 1 species